UUUUUAUGGACUUUUACUUUUAAUUAAUUCACUUAACAUAGAUAAAGUGCUCUACUAAGAUAAUGUG
rnacentral:tRNA from 3 species